AUACCUUUCUCGGCCUUUUGGCUAAGAUCAAGUGUAGUAUCUGUUCUUAUCAGUUUAAUAUCUGAUACGUGAGCUCAAGGAGCUCACAAUGAUAUUAAAUUAAUUUUUUUCAGGGGGAGUAGUGCCCACCCACAGUAGCUUGCUGCUGGGGCUCUUGAGCGUUGCCUUGGCCUUGCAGUACUGCCUUGGCUUGGCGUACCCCAC